UACGUAGGCAGCGAGCGUUGUUCGGAGUUACUGGGCGUAAAGAGUGCGUAGGCGGUUUUCUAAGUUUGGUGUGAAAUCUCCCGGCUCAACUGGGAGGGUGCGCCGAAGACUGGAAGGCUUGAGUAUGGGAGAGGUAAGCGGAAUUCCUGGUGUAGCGGUGAAAUUCGUAGAUAUCAGGAGGAACACCUGCGGUGUAGACGGCUUACUGGACCAUAACUGACGCUGAGGCACGAAAGCGUGGGUAGCAAACAGG
rnacentral:rRNA from 1 species